rnacentral:lncRNA from 1 species
GUCACGAGAAGGGUGCUUCGUCUUCAGAUGAAUAUAGCUAUGAUGAGUUCCUCGAAGGUGCUUCAUUUUCGAACAAAAAUAGCCACAAGAAGGGUGCUUCUACUUCAGAUGAACAUAGCCAUGAUGAGUUUCUCGAAGGUGUUUUAUUUCUGAAUGAAAAUAGCUACGAGAAAGGUACUUCAUUUCUGAAUGAAAGUAGUCAUGGACUUUGAGAACACGUAUAGUUGAUGAAGAAGACCUUGGUGACCAAGAAGCAAAAGCUAAAUCUGAAGGACCCUCGAAGACCUUUGAUGACCAUGAGUGAAGAAGCCCCUCAUCUCUAAGACA